rnacentral:rRNA from 1 species
GCAUGUGUAAGUAUAAAUAGUUAACUUUGAAACUGCGAAUGGCUCAUUAUAUCAGUUAUAGUUUAUUUGAUGAAGAAUACUAAUUGGAUAACCGUAGUAAUUCUAGAGCUAAUACAUGUAUAAAGUCUUGUAGACUGCAUUUAUUAGAAUGAAAACCAUAGGUUUCGGCCUAUUCGUGAGUAAUAAUAACUAAUCAUAUCGUAUGCUUAUGUAACGAUGUGUCUUUCAAGUUUCUGCCCUAUCAGCUUUCGAUGGUAGUGUAUUGGACUACCAUGGCAGUAACGGGUAACGAAGA